rnacentral:rRNA from 1 species
AUGAGAUGUGGUCUCAGUAUUCAGGUACACGACGACGGCGGCCGGUGGCGCUCCCAUUCAUGGCCGGCGAGGAGAAGCUGCAGCUUCCGUCGCGCCCCGAGGUACACCGCUGCCACGCGCCCAACCGACUCUCCCUCUUUGUUCUCCGCCGUAGGUCGCUGGCCAUGGAUGCUGCAACUCAAUCUCUCCAAUCCCCUCCCUCCCAAAUCUUUAAAUCUCCUCUUAUUUCAACUUUUCAAAUCCAUGACCGUAGUGAUGAUAUCAGGUAAGCCACGUGCAGUUCUAUUUCCCAUUAGAUUCAUGUGCCCCUUUGAUCUAGAAAAACAUGCCAAAUCUGCGUGUUCAAAUUCGUAUAGGUAUAGAUGUAACCAUGGGAUCCAUAUUUCCUAG